rnacentral:rRNA from 1 species
CCUACGGGUGGCAGCAGUGAGGAAUAUUGGUCAAUGGGCGCGAGCCUGAACCAGCCAAGUAGCGUGAAGGAUGACUGCCCUACGGGUUGUCAACUUCUUUUAUAAAGGAAUAAAGUGAGGCACGUGUGCCUUUUUGUAUGUACUUUAUGAAUAAGGAUAGGCUAACUACGUGCCAGCAGCUGCGGUGAUACGGAGGAUCCGAGCGUUAUCCGUGUUUAUUGGGUUUAAAGGGAGCGUAGAUGGGUUGUUAAGUCAGUUGUGAAAGUUUGCGGCUAAACCGUAAAAUUGCAAUUGAUACUGGCAGCCUUGAGUACAGUAGAGGUAGGCGGAAUUCGUGGUGUAGCGGUGAAAUGCUUAGAGAUCACGAAGAACUCCGAUUGCGAAGGCAGCUUACUAAAAUGCCACUGACAUUGAUGCUCGAAAGUGUGGGUAUCAAACAGGAUUAGAUACCCUUGUAGUC